CGCUGGCGGCGUGCCUAAUACAUGCAAGUCGAACGGUCUUUCUAUGGAAGCUUGCUUCCACUGAGAAGAUAGUGGCGAACGGGUGAGUAACACGUGGGUAACCUGCCCAUAAGAGGGGGAUAACAUCCGGAAACGGGUGCUAAUACCGCAUAGUUUUCUUGAUCGCAUGAUUGAGAAAGGAAAGACGGCCUUUGUGCUGUCGCUUAUGGAUGGACCCGCGGCGUAUUAGUUAGUUGGUGAGGUAACGGCUCACCAAGACGAUGAUACGUAGCCGACCUGAGAGGGUGAUCGGCCACAUUGGGACUGAGACACGGCCCAAACUCCUACGGGAGGCAGCAGUAGGGAAUCUUCCGCAAUGGACGAAAGUCUGACGGAGCAACGCCGCGUGAGUGAAGAAGGUUUUCGGAAUCGUAAAACUCUGUUGUCAGAGAAGAACAAGUUGGAGAGUAACUGCUCCAGCCUUGACGGCAUCUGACCAGAAAGCCACGGCUAACUACGUGCCAGCAGCAGC
rnacentral:rRNA from 1 species